UACAAACACCCAUUCACUCACGAGUCCAACCAUACUAGUUUCACUCAAAUCCAACUUCAAAUCGACAUUCAAAUCCCGAAAACUCAUUUUACGAAGUUUCUACAAUUGUUCCCAAAUUUCCACCUCAAAGUACUAAUCUGAUGAUGAAAUCAUUGAUAUAUUCAUGUAUAUUAACAAAAUUCAAGUUAGAAUCACUUACCCUAAUGAAUUUCUUGAAAAACCCACGAAACAUCGCCACAAAUCGAGCUCCCUAGGUGCAAAAUGUGACCAUCGAUAUCAAAUUUUUCACUGCCGACCGAAAUCGUCGAAUUUCCAACUUUCGCCAAUUUAAGCCUAAUUCUACCACGGGCCUCCAAAUUACAUUCCGGAUGCGCUUCUAUGUCCAAAAUCACCUAACGAAGCUAAUGGAACCAUAGAAAUCCACAUCCGAGGUCGCUUACUCAUAACUCAAUAUCCGGCUGACUUUUUCAAUUUAAACUCCUAAAUAAGAGAGUAAGUGUCUCAUUCCACUCCGAAACUACUCCGGACUAGAACCAACUAACCCGGUAUAUCAUAACAUAGUUGAAAAACAUAAAAGGAAACAGAAAUGGGGGAAACAGGGCUAUAACUCUCGAAACGGCCGGCCGGGUCGUUACAGAUAAUGAAAGGAUGAGCAAUAGUGAGAGCUCUACUGACCAACCUCCUCGCACUGUUUCUUGGGAAGGCGAUAUUCGGAAAUGACAAAAGUGGGUAUGUUCGUGGUUUAGGACUUGGUCCAACUCCUUCUGUUCUAUGGGAUAGCAAGUCUUCCUUAGGAAAUAUUGUUGUAGAUGAUUCUUCUAAUGAGGUUAUACAAAGGUUAGAAUAGGAGAUAAUCGAGUUAAAGGAGAAAUAAAAUGAAGAAAUGAAUAUGAUGAAACAAAAUCAGGAGAAGAUACAAUCAGAAUUACUCCAAAUGAGACAACUAAUGCGCAAAUAUGCUCCUAAUGCAUCUAUGCCUCAAAGUAGCAAUGGCACCUCAGGUGAACAGAUCCCUGACGCCAACAGUGGAUGGACCUGAACGAGUACCACAAACAACAAGGAUACGUAGUGUUGCUGUCAUACACUUUAAUGUUCGAUAAUUCAGUGGGUGGAAGAUUUCAAAAUGAUGAAAAGUUGUGGAAAUCAUUUGAAGACCAUCAUUCGUUUGGAUUAGUUAUAUAAUGACAUUAGCUAUUUAGUUCAAACAAUAUAAGUUUAGUUAUUGUGACAUCAAUAUUUUUGAUUAGUACUUCCUUUUGUUUGUUAAGAUUUAAUGAGAUAUAUUAUGUUUUUUUAAUUAAUAUUAAUAUAUUUUCUUAUUUGGGUCA